rnacentral:sRNA from 1 species
AACUGACCGAACCGAAGAGCUGGCCCAGUGGAUGAAAGCCAGCCGCGCAGGAAGUGUAAGACGCUCCCCACGUCAGCCGGGCCUGCCCCAUUGU